rnacentral:rRNA from 1 species
GAUGAACGCUGGCGGCGUGCCUAAUACAUGCAAGUCGAGCGAACGGACGAGGAGCUUGCUUCUUUGACGUUAGCGGCGGACGGGUGAGUAACACGUGUAUCACCUACCUAUCAUACUGGUAAAACUUCGGGAAACCGGCUCUAACACCGGAUAAUAUCUUGCACCGCAUGGUUCAAAAGUGAAAGACGGUCUUUCUGUCACUUCUAGAUGCAUCCGCGCUGCAUUAGCUAGUUGUUAAGGUAACGGCUUACCAAGGCAACGAUGCAUAGCCGAACUGAGAGGGUGGUCGGCCACACGAGAGCGUAGACGCGGACCAGGCGCCUACGGGAGGCAGCAGUAGGCAAUCGUCGGCAACAGGCGAAAGCAUGACGCAGCAGCGCCGCGUCAGUGAUGAAGGUCUUCGGAGCGUAAAACUCUGUUAUUAGGGAAGAACCUAUGUGGAAGUAACUGUAGAGAGCGUGACGGUACCUGAUCAGAAAGCCACGGCUAACUACGUG